UACGUAGGGUGCGAGCGUUGUCCGGAAUUAUUGGGCGUAAAGGGCUCGUAGGCGGUUUGUCGCGUCGGGAGUGAAAACCCAGGGCUUAACUCUGGGCUGGCUUCCGAUACGGGCAGACUAGAGGCAUGCAGGGGAGAACGGAAUUCCUGGUGUAGCGGUGAAAUGCGCAGAUAUCAGGAGGAACACCGGUGGCGAAAGGCGGUUCUCUGGG
rnacentral:rRNA from 1 species